rnacentral:rRNA from 1 species
AGAACGAACGCUGGCGGCAUGCCUAAUACAUGCAAGUCGAACGAACUCUUCGGAGUUAGUGGCGCACGGGUGCGUAACGCGUGGGAAUCUGCCCCUUGGUUCGGAAUAACAGUUGGAAACGACUGCUAAUACCGGAUGAUGACGAAAGUCCAAAGAUUUAUCGCCAAGGGAUGAGCCCGCGUAGGAUUAGCUAGUUGGUGAGGUAAAGGCUCACCAAGGCAACGAUCCUUAGCUGGUCUGAGAGGAUGAUCAGCCACACUGGGACUGAGACACGGCCCAGACUCCUACGGGAGGCAGCAGUAGGGAAUAUUGGACAAUGGGCGAAAG